GCCGGGUGCAGUGGAGCACACCUGUAAUCCCAGCGGCUCGGGAGGCUGAGGCAGGAGGAUCAUGAGUGCAAAGCCAGCCUCAGCAAAAAGCAAGGUGCUAAGCAACUCAGUGAGACCCUGUGUCUA
rnacentral:sRNA from 1 species